GCUGCUUCUACUAUAAAAAAGCUGCAAUUUUUUUUCAAGAUUCUUGCCAAAUCUUCAAUCUCGAACACAAUUUUUCACUAAUCCAACACCCCCAUUUUCAAUUUUUCAAGAAAAUGAAGGUAAUUGAGAAGAUUCAAGAAGCAGCCAAGACUGACAAAGUGAUAUUUUCGUUCGAAUUUUUCCCACCAAAGACUGAUGAUGGGGUUGAAAAUCUGUUUGAAAGAAUGGAAAGAAUGGUUGCUCAUGGUCCAUCUUUUUGUGAUAUAACAUGGGGUGCUGGUGGUUCAACAGCAGAUCUGACACUUGAGAUUGUUAAUAGGAUGCAGAAUAUGGUGUGUGUUGAAUCUAUGAUGCAUUUGACAUGUACAAAUAUGCCUGUUGAAAAAAUUGAUCAUGCUCUUGAUACUAUCAAGGCUAAUGGUAUUCAAAAUGUUCUUGCUCUUCGUGGAGAUCCUCCUCAUGGUCAGGAUAAGUUUGUUCAGGUUGAAGGUGGAUUUGCUUGUGCUUUGGAUCUGGUGAAGCAUAUGCGUGCCAAGUAUGGGGAUUACUUUGGGAUAACUGUUGCAGGUUAUCCAGAGGCACAUCCUGAUGUUAUACCUGCUAAUGGAAUAGCUACCAAAGAGAUUUAUGAAAAUGACCUUGCUUACCUUAAAAAAAAGGUUGAUGCUGGAGCUGAUGUUAUUGUAACUCAACUCUUCUACGAUACUGAUAUUUUCCUAAAAUUUGUCAAUGAUUGCCGCCAAAUUGGAAUUAACUGCCCCAUCGUUCCGGGUAUCAUGCCCAUUAACAAUUACAAGGGCUUCUUGCGCAUGACUGGAUUUUGCAAGACUAAGAUUCCGGAUGAGAUAAUGGC
rnacentral:misc_RNA from 1 species